rnacentral:tRNA from 1 species
UUAAAUUGAAAAUUACAAAGGAUUUAAAAUCCUUUUUCGGAAAAUUUUCUGUUUCAA